rnacentral:rRNA from 1 species
AACGAACGCUGGCGGCAGGCUUAACACAUGCAAGUCGAACGCCCCGCAAGGGGAGUGGCAGACGGGUGAGUACCGCGUGGGAACAUACCCUUUUCUACGGAAUAGCUCUGGGAAACUGGAAUUAAUACCGUAUACGCCCUACGGGGGAAAGAUUUAUCGGGGAAGGAUUGGCCCGCGUUGGAUUAGCUAGUUGGUGGGGUAAAGGCCUACCAAGGCGACGAUCCAUAGCUGGUCUGAGAGGAUGAUCAGCCACAUUGGGACUGAGACACGGCCCAAACUCCCUACGGAGGCAGGCGUGGGGGAAAAUUGGCCAUUGGCGGAAGCCUGAUCCAGCCAUGCCGCGUGAGUGAUGAAGGCCUUAGGGUUGUAAAGCUCUUUCACCGAUGAAGAUAAUGACGGUAGUCGGAGAAGAAGCCCCGGCUAACUUCGUG